rnacentral:tRNA from 1 species
UCCAAACAAUUAUACCUAGGGGAAAAGGAUUUAAACCUUCGACAAAAAAUCCAAAAUUUUCCGUAUUUCCAACUAUACUAUCCCCUA